rnacentral:rRNA from 1 species
UACGGAGGAUGCAAGCGUUAUCCGGAUUUAUUGGGUUUAAAGGGUGCGCAGGCGGGAGAUUAAGUCGGCGGUGAAAUUUUGCAGCUCAACUGUAAAAGUGCCUUCGAAACUGGUUUCCUUGAGUGUAGAUGAAGUAGGCGGAAUUCCCGGUGUAGCGGUGAAAUGCGUAGAGAUCGGGAGGAACACCAGUGGCGAAGGCGGGUAACUGGACUGCAACUGACGCUGAUGCGCGAAAGUGUGGGGAGCAAACAGGAUUAGAUACCCCUGUAGUCCCU